GAUGAACGCUGACAGAAUGCUUAACACAUGCAAGUCGAUGGGGAAGUGGUGCUUGCACCCUGGUCACCAUGGCGGACGGGUGAGUAACGCGUAAGGAACUUGCCUGCGGGACUGGGAUAACAGCAGGAAACUGCUGAUAAUACCGGAUAAGGUCAUUAAGCUGCAUAGCUUAGUGAUGAAAGGAGACGCCUGCGGAGAGCCUUGCGUCCUAUUAGCUAGUUGGAGGGGUAACGGCCCACCAAGGCGAAGAUAGGUAGCCGGCCUGAGAGGGUGGACGGCCACAAGGGGACUGAGAUACGGCCCUUACUCCUACGGGAGGCAGCAGUGGGGAAUAUUGGACAAUGGGGGCAACCCUGAUCCAGCAAUUCUGUGUGCACGAAGACGGUUUUCGGAUUGUAAAGUGCUUUCAGCAGGGAAGAAGGAAGUGACGGUACCUGCAGAAGAAGCGACGGCUAAAUACGUG
rnacentral:rRNA from 1 species